rnacentral:rRNA from 1 species
AACGACUCUCGGCAACGGAUAUCUCGGCUCUCGCAUCGAUGAAGAACGUAGCGAAAUGCGAUACUUGGUGUGAAUUGCAGAAUCCCGUGAACCAUCGAGUUUUUGAACGCAAGUUGCGCCCGAAGCCUUCGGCUUAGGGCACGUCUGCCUGGGCG